UGGGGAAUUUUGGACAAUGGGCGAAAGCCUGAUCCAGCAAUGCCGCGUGUGUGAAGAAGGCCUUCGGGUUGUAAAGCACUUUUGUCCGGAAAGAAAUCCUUGGCUCUAAUACAGUCGGGGGAUGACGGUACCGGAAGAAUAAGCACCGGCUAACUACGUGCCAGCAGCCGCGGUAAUACGUAGGGUGCAAGCGUUAAUCGGAAUUACUGGGCGUAAAGCGUGCGCAGGCGGUUUGCUAAGACCGAUGUGAAAUCCCCGGGCUCAACCUGGGAACUGCAUUGGUGACUGGCAGGCUAGAGUAUGGCAGAGGGGGGUAGAAUUCCACGUGUAGCAGUGAAAUGCGUAGAGAUGUGGAGGAAUACCGAUGGCGAAGGCAGCCCCUGGGCCAAUACUGACGCUCAUGCACGAAAGCGUGGGGAGCAAAACAGGAUUAGAUACCCUGGUAGUCCACGCCCUAAAACGAUGUCAACUAGUUGUUGGGGAUUCAUUUCCUUAGUAACGUAGCUAACGCGUGAAGUUGACCGCCUGGGGAGUACGGUCGCAAGAUUAAAACUUAAAGGAAUUGACGGGGUC
rnacentral:rRNA from 1 species